rnacentral:rRNA from 1 species
UACGGAGGAUCCAAGCGUUAUCCGGAAUCAUUGGGUUUAAAGGGUCCGCAGGCGGUUGUUUAAGUCAGAGGUGAAAGUUUGCAGCUCAACUGUAAAAUUGCCUUUGAUACUGAAUAACUUGAGUUAUAAUGAAGUGGUUAGAAUAUGUAGUGUAGCGGUGAAAUGCAUAGAUAUUACAUAGAAUACCGAUUGCGAAGGCA